rnacentral:rRNA from 1 species
CCUACGUGAGGCAGCAGUGGGGAAUAUUGCGCAAUGGGCGAAAGCCUGACGCAGCGACGCCGCGUGAGGGAUGAAGGUCUUCGGAUCGUAAACCUCUGUCAGCAGGGAAGAACGGUCACUGUGCUAAUCAGCAGUGAAUUGACGGUACCUGCAAAGGAAGCACCGGCUAACUCCGUGCCAGCAGCCGCGGUAAUACGGAGGGUGCGAGCGUUAAUCGGAAUUACUGGGCGUAAAGCGCUCGUAGGCGGUAUGUCAAGUCAAGGGUGAAAUCCCCGCGCUCAACGUGGGAACUGCCUUUGAAACUGGCAAACUGGAGUGUGUGAGAGGAUAGUGGAAUGCCAGGUGUAGGAGUGAAAUCCGGAGAUAUCUGGAGGAACAUCAGUGGCGAAGGCGACUAUCUGGCACAUAACUGACGCUGAGGAGCGAAAGCGUGGGUAGCAAACAGGAUUAGAUACCCCUGUAGUC